rnacentral:lncRNA from 1 species
GGCUUAUCAGCUCUGCUUACUGAGAGCAAAGGUCUAGACCUAAGAAAUCUCAGUCAUGGUGUUGGAUGUGCCUCAAGGAUGGAUGCAAGAGGACCACCUCCUGUGUAGUGGAGAAGGGCAACCGGCAGAUGGCAUGUAGUGGAUCACAGUUCUCUACUUCCAGCAGUCCUGACAGAGUGUGAGGGAGACUGUACAAAGAGGUCUGGAUACCCACCUUCUGUGUUUUUGACUUUGGAAGUUGGAUUAGAAGAGCCAUGAAGUAUUCUCCAGCUUUGGUACCUUGUGCUUUCAGGGAGAGUCAGCAUCACCUCUCUGUUCCCAGAACUGUAAAAGGGAGGCCAGAGGCUGAGAGCAAGGUGUGUUGGAUUGGGAGAACUACUGGGAAGAACAUGAAGAAGGCAGAGCAAAAGAAGAGGAAGCAAUCCAUGGUUAUUUCAAAGAGAGGCAGAAAUUUCUAGAAAAAACAUGCCAGGGUUUCUGGUCAGCACUGAAGACCCUUUGAAGCUUGAAGUAUUGAACUGAAAGGAACACAAUAAAUACAGUGAUGCUUUUCUCUUUUAAGUGGCUAAGAUGGGCCGGCCAUGGUGUUAGGCAGUUUGUGGAGAGACAUGGAAACAUUGCUGUCCUCAGAUGUAUCCGUGCUCUCCACUCUGCAGAAGACCCUGACUCUAGCCCCAAGGACACUGAGGAAUGGGCAUGGUGUGGACUUCCUAAAAGAAAAUUAUGAUGUUGAUGUUAGAAGAUAAGAGACUUGUUCCUGAGUUGGCAAAAAUGACAGUUGUCCACUAGAGGACACGCAUGUUUAGCUUGGCAUCUUGGAACCACUUCUGGGGUAUGCCACGUUAGAAGAAACCUUCAGCUAACAGAGUACGGCUUGGCUUCUCAGAGAUGGCUGGAAUUCCUCCCUGCCCGUCCACUGACUUGCUAGUAUGGACAAACCUUUAAACCUUCCUGGCUCUCAGUCUUCUUAUCUGGAAAACAAAGAUAAGGAAACUGAUAUCCUCAGGAGUUACCAGACUUGCUCAACAUCACAAGACAGGAUCUAAUGCAACCAAAGCCGACCUCAACAUCAUUCUGCAGCCAAUGACAUUUUGAAUAUCAGAUUCUCCUUUCUCCACCUCUCCAGCACUGUGAAUACAGAGCCAUCUAUUAAAUGGCACGAUGUGCUGGAAACAAACUCCAAGCAGGACUGGGAGAUUCACAAUCAGCUCACUAGAGAAGCCAUUGAAGAAACCGAGCCCAUCACCCUGGAGAAAACAAGACCUGGAGUGGAGUGAUUCCAUCCAUGUUGGGAUGAGCACCGAGCAGACACCAUGUGGUCGGAGAAGAAGGAAGAGGAGUGAUGCCUGCUACGAAUGGAGGUGUUUCCUUGACUUUCCAUGCCUGAGGAAUCAUGAGGGUAGCUAAAACAGGGUGCAGCCUCACCCAGAUGUCAGUGGAAGGACCAAGAAAACCAUCAAGGAAUCUUCUUCAACUGACAGGAGUAAGAGAUAAGGACACCCCCCUCCCCAUCAACAGGUAGCUUCAACCCCCCAGUAGGUGUUUGUCUAACAUCUUAGAACUUGAGUUGGGGUCCUGAACUGGGGUGUCCUGUGCUUAAAUUUUCCUGCUUUGUGGGGCUUACUUUGAUGCUCAACUUGUCCACCUUCACAGAUUCAUUUUCGGCAUCCAGAUUUGGCUGAAGUUCUCUCCUUGGCCUCCGACUUUAUGAAUAGCAUUGCAUGUUCUCAGUCUCUUGCAUGGGCACCUCUUCUUCUAGCACAUGACGAGGUCUGUCUCUUCCAGCACAGCUCUUCGGAACAACAAGUUCUUGGGAGCCCAGGCCUCCCACCGUCCCCUCAGGUGUUCCUCAGAACUGCCAUUCGGGACCAUUGCUCCUUUCUCAGCUCCCACUGAGAAACUGGGUCCUAAAUCGGCUCAGGCUAGAAAGCUGUGCAGCAUAGCUUCUCGGUUCAGACUGAUAUUGUAGGAGUAAGGCAUAGUGGGUGGAGUAAGGUGUAGGAGUAAGGCAAUAUUUAGGGUCUGGCCUCCAUCCCAGAAAUAUGGCCACUGGCUCAGAAGUGUGGAGCCAUUGGAAAUGGGGAUGUGGCAAGGUGAAAAGGGUGAUCAUUGUGUGUGUGUGGGAUAACGGGGGAGUCUUAGAAAGCACUGGUUGUGGGGUCAGCACACUAUGUUUUUUUUGCUUCCUGAAUUUCUACUCCCUUCCUAGGUACAGGGACUUUGAGCUGCUUUGAAUCCUUCCUCAGAAGUUAUGGGCAUUCAUAGUCUGGAGCGGAUUUCUUUAAGAAAGAGACAUGUGCUUGAUUUCUGUAGAUAAAUGGGGAGCAGAAGGAGCUCCGUGCCCUGUUAGGCAGCCCUGUCUGACCUAUACGGUUGGAGAUUUCCUUGGAACCUUUGGAAGCCCUUGGCAUCUUCUUUAAGCCCUUGCAUCUGCCUUGCUGGGAAAGCUUUCUAAGUUUUACAUUUUGUACAGGGAAACAAACAAACAAACGUUGUUCCUUCUUGUCCCUUCUUGGUCAGCAGGGGGUUGGAGGGUUGGUGUGCACUCUCCAGCUUCCUCAUUUAGGAAACUCCAUCUGGCAGCUGAGAAGAUGGGGACAGAUUAUCCUGAUUGUCUGGAUGCUGAGAUGAGUCAUAUGUCCAGGACACAGAGGCCACAUACUGGGAAUUCAGGAUGAUAUGACAAGUCCUUCUUCCCUGUCAACCAGGACAUUCUCAGCAAGAUGACAGCAUGGUUUGAAUGCCCUGGGUACCUGUUGACUGAGAGGAGAGUGUCUGUCCCAGGGACUCUGUCCUAGCCCCUUACCCAUUUCUGGCUUACUUUGACUGCUUUUCUGUGGCCUGUAGGCGUUUCACUGAUAGUGGAAGUUUAAAGAUCUCCUCUCUCUCUCUCUUUCUGUGUGUGUGUUCAUGUUUAUGCACAUGUAUGUGGGUGUAUGUGGAGUCCAGAAGUUGAUGUCUGGUGUUUUCCUUGCCCUAUUUUUUGAGACAGGGUCUCUCACCGAAUCUUGCUGGCCAGCUAAUACCUAACACCAGAGAUCUUCUUGUCUCUACCCCCAGCAGUGCACACUGCUAAAUAAAUCCAUUUUUU